rnacentral:tRNA from 1 species
GGGUAUAGCUCAGUUGGCAGAGUGCUUGCCUCCUGUGCACAGAGCCCUGGGUUCGAUCCCCAACACUGCA